rnacentral:lncRNA from 9 species
GCCUGAACAACAUGCAUUUUAUUCCCACGACUUUUGGCCCACGACCUUCUAGAAUUUCCCCUUGGGCCUUCCUGGGGUGCGUUCCCAGAUGACGUCCGAUUGUUUGCCUUCGUGCGCUUCACCACCGGGGAUGCCAUGAGCAAGAGGUCCAAGUUUGCCCUCAUCACCUGGAUUGGCGAGAACGUCAGCGGGCUGCAGCGCGCCAAGACGGGCACCGACAAGACCCUGGUGAAGGAAGUGGUGCAGAAUUUCGCCAAAGAGUUUGUGAUCAGUGAUCGGAAGGAGCUGGAGGAAGAUUUUAUCAAGAGCGAGCUCAAGAAGGCCGGGGGUGCCAAUUAUGAUGCCCAGACGGAGUAACCCCCGCACCCCGCGCCUUGCCAAAGUCAUCUGCCUGCUCCCCGGGGGAGGGGACCGCGGCCUCAGCUACCAGCCCAUCAGCCCACCAGGGAGAGGAGACGCGAUGAGAGGCAACGCCCGCCACCCCGUCCGCAACCCAGCUCCCCUCCCCGCUUCCCCUUGUGCACCUGCUGUGUCCCGUCCCAUGAAGCUCAUGGAACAUCUUUCUUUGCUUUUUUUUCUUUUCUCCCCCUGACCCCUUUCUUGUUCUAAACAAAAAUCAUUUGGAUGCCAAGGUCACGCACAUCACCAGAUCGGAGGUGCCUCCCGCGGUGACCCUCUCCUGGCAUUUCUUAACGCACAGGCAGCCUGCCCGGCCUGACCCAUCAACCUCGCGUCGCUUCUGGUGCCUGGGCCAGUGUCGCUCUCUUGUUUUCUUUUUUUUGGCGCCCGCCUGCUUCCCACGGAGGAGGCAGCCACGUGGGGAGCCCGUCCUCAUCGUGCCCUUGUCGCGCCCCGCUGGCCAGGCUCACAUCUCCAGGAGUCCCUCCGGAGGCCCCCCCACCCCCCACCUCCAUUCCAAGUUGCCUAAGCUCCAUGUCCAUCAGAGACGGUGCUCGGUGGAGAGAUGGGCAGCCCUGACUCAGACCGAAGGAGGAGAGAGGAAAAUCUGCCACCCGUCAGAAGCGGCCCGUUCCCCAGCCUUGGGAUGGCGCUCUCGGGAUGGCGGGGGGUGGGGGCAGAGGUCUGAGUCCAGAUUCGACGGGAGGUGCUCAGGGCUCACAUCCUCGGGCUCCCCAAGUGACGAGGACAUUAGGGGUGCAGAAUGGGCAUUUAGGUCAAAGCGGUCCUCUGCACGACAGCACAGACAGCAGGGGACAGAGGCUCCCUGCUCCGUCACGGUCACCACAGCUGUGUGUGCAGCCCCCCCCCACUGGGGGGGGAACCAGAAAGUCUAUGGUUUUAAUCCUCGGUGGCACCUCACACAAAAAGGAUGUUUUUUUUUUUUCAAAGAAAGAUGAGGUUGGCUUGGUUCUUCAUGCCCAUGUUAGGUAGGGCUCUUUUUCUCUUUUCCUUGCUCGUUUCGUCGGGGGACGUCUGUGCUGUGCUGGGGUGGUGAAGGCAUCUGCACUCAAAACGGUUUACAGAAAUAAAUUUUUGUUUUGUUUUGUUUUUCAAAAAA